AGAGUUUGAUCAUGGCUCAGGACGAACGCUGGCGGCGCGCCUAACACAUGCAAGUCGAACGAGCGAGAGAGAGCUUGCUUUCUUGAGCGAGUGGCGAACGGGUGAGUAACGCGUGAGGAACCUGCCUCAAAGAGGGGGACAACAGUUGGAAACGACUGCUAAUACCGCAUAAGCCCACGGCUCGGCAUCGAGCAGAGGGAGAAGGAGCAAUCCGCUUUGAGAUGGCCUCGCGUCCGAUUAGCUAGUUGGUGAGGUAACGGCCCACCAAGGCGACGAUCGGUAGCCGGACUGAGAGGUUGAACGGCCACAUUGGGACUGAGACACGGCCCAGACUCCUACGGGAGGCAGCAGUGGGGAAUAUUGCACAAUGGGGGAAACCCUGAUGCAGCGACGCCGCGUGGAGGAAGAAGGUCUUCGGAUUGUAAACUCCUGUUGUUGAGGAAGAUAAUGACGGUACUCAACAAGGAAGUGACGGCUAACUACGUGCCAGCAGCCGCGGUAAAACGUAGGUCACAAGCGUUGUCCGGAAUUACUGGGUGUAAAGGGAGCGCAGGCGGGAAGACAAGUUGGAAGUGAAAUCCAUGGGCUCAACCCAUGAACUGCUUUCAAAACUGUUUUUCUUGAGUGGUGCAGAGGUAGGCGGAAUUCCCGGUGUAGCGGUGGAAUGCGUAGAUAUCGGGAGGAACACCAGUGGCGAAGGCGGCCUACUGGGCACCAACUGACGCUGAGGCUCGAAAGUGUGGGUAGCAAACAGGAUUAGAUACCCUGGUAGUCCACACUGUAAACGAUGAUUACUAGGUGUUGGAGGAUUGACCCCUUCAGUGCCGCAGUUAACACAAUAAGUAAUCCACCUGGGGAGUACGACCGCAAGGUUGAAACUCAAAGGAAUUGACGGGGGCCCGCACAAGCAGUGGAGUAUGUGGUUUAAUUCGACGCAACGCGAAGAACCUUACCAAGUCUUGACAUCCCUUGACGAUGCUGGAAACAGUAUUUCUCCUCGGAGCAAGGAGACAGGUGGUGCAUGGUUGUCGUCAGCUCGUGUCGUGAGAUGUUGGGUUAAGUCCCGCAACGAGCGCAACCCUUAUGGUCAGUUACUACGCAAGAGGACUCUGGCCAGACUGCCGUUGACAAAACGGAGGAAGGUGGGGAUGACGUCAAACCAUCAUGCCCUUUAUGACUUGGGCUACACACGUACUACAAUGGCGUUAAACAAAGAGAAGCAAGACCGCGAGGUGGAGCAAAACUCAGAAACAACGUCCCAGUUCGGACUGCAGGCUGCAACUCGCCUACACGAAGUCGGAAUUGCUAGUAAUCGCAGAUCAGCAUGCUGCGGUGAAUACGUUCCCGGGCCUUGUACACACCGCCCGUCACACCAUGAGAGCCGGGGGGACCCGAAGUCGGUAGUCUAACCGCAAGGAGGACGCCGCCGAAGGUAAAACUGGUGAUUGGGGUGAAGUCGUAACAAGGUA
rnacentral:rRNA from 1 species